UAGGGGCCUGAGGGCACACAGUGUGUUGUAGAUAUGUGGUAGUGGUGGAGUAGGGGCCUGAGGGCACACAGUGUGUUGUAGAUAUGUGGUAGUGGUGGAGUAUGGGCCUGAGGGCACACAGUGUGUUGUAGAUAUGUGGUAGUGGUGGAGUAGGGGCCUGAGGGCACACAGUGUGUUGUAGAUAUGUGGUUGUGGUGGAGUAGGGGCCUGAGGGCACACAGUGUGUUGUAGAUAUGUGGUAGUGGUGGGAGUAGGGGCCUGAGGGCACACAGUGUGUUGUAGCUAUGUGGUUGUGGUGGGGUAGGGGCCUGAGGGCACACAGUGUGUUGUAGAUAUGUGGUAGUGGUGGAGUAGGGGCCUGAGGGCACACAGUGUGUUGUAGAUAUGUGGUUGUGGUGG
ensembl:lncRNA